UUGCAACCUAAAACAGAACAAAUUUAAGCAAAUUCUUGAUAAACCUCGCAAUAAUUGGUGCUCAGGCGGAUCUGAAAUAGCCUCACUGCCCCCAUGACCGCCUCUCACCACUGCCCCCCCCACCCUCAUUUAUAGGUCGGUGAAGCCCAUUUUUUUGAACAAAUAAAUUGGCCUUGUAUGUUGCGGACAAACAAUCCCCUGACGGCUGGUGUGAAAUAAUGGAUUUAAGUUCACAGCACUUUAAUGAAAUGAAACAGGGAAGUUUCUUUAAAGACAAGAUGAGUAUGAAAGGCGAGUUGCCUAGUGACUUUAGGCACAAAGUCGGCAACCAAGAUAUGUGGAAAGAAUUUUCAGAAUGGCAACGAAGAAAAUACCUUUUGAAUUUCACAUGUAUUGAGUGGUUUCCAACAACAGUGGACUGCCUACAACAAACUUCUAAUGUCUGGAGAAAGUUUGCUCUUUUUUCUACCCAGUUAGAAGUGGCCAAUUGUUUAUCUGGCAAGCACAGUUACCACUUGUGAAAAAUCAUAGCUUUAUGCACAGGACAGUGGCUGCUUACACCUCAUUGUUUUACCCUAGUUGUUUGGCAUGGUACGGAAACAACGAAUCUAAUGUCUCCUACCUUGGUUGUGGCAAUGCAGAGGGUAUUAUUAAAGUAUUUUUGGUAAAGAUAACUCCUACAUAUGCUGGAAUACCAGGAGUAUCCAUUGCAAAAGCAUACACUUUCUUUGAGACACCUGACAGCAUCAGUGUUGACUGUAUGGCAUGGUAUUCUAAGGUAUUCUGCCACAACCAUUCUGAUAAUGCUUAUAGAUUAAUGGUCAGUUUACAACAAUGGUCAGUUUAGAAAAUCACAACUAGAAUCUAU